rnacentral:lncRNA from 1 species
AAAGACAAAAUAACAUAAAUGAGAAUAUCUAAAGUAUUAGAAUUUAUCGCGGGGUGUGAGAGGUGCAGAGAACCCUACGAGCUGGCUGCAUGAUUGCUCUCUCCUCGAGAGCUAUGUCCUCCACUGGCAUGGCUCUGACCUCUGAAAGACAUAAUGUAUAAUCUCUGAAAAUAAAAAUAAAUAGAUUCAUCAAAUUAAUUAUACAAUUAUGAAUGGUAAUGCA